GCUGCUCCUCUUCCCCCUCCCCAAGCUCCCUCCCUCCUCACGCCUCUCCGCGCAGUCGUGGGAUCUUGGAAGAAAGCGUCCAUUAAAGCAACGUGUGACCAUGUAAGGAUCUAAGUAUUCCACAAUGCCUGCUUCAGCUGCCUUCAUGUUGUUGGAACAAUCUAUUCUUAUCUGCUCAUUCUGCUGAGGAAAGUCUUCAUAUCCUUGGAGUAGACACUCCCAGAACUCAUCAAAGUAUUUGAAGCCUGAAGGUUACUCUCAACAUGAUUUAGGCCAUAUGCUGAGAUGGUUUGCCAGAAUAUGGCCACUGCCCUUGCUACUGCUUCUUGGAACCACAGGUUGAAUUCUCUUCAAAGACAAAAUAGUUGUCCAUUUUAAUGAACAUUGAAAGCUUUCAAGGAGCUGCAUUCAUCAAGACAAUCUGGCUCUUGUUCACCAACUUCUUAGUUUAAAAGCAAGUUUCUUAAGUGGUCUCAAAUCAACAUUGUCAAACACUGCUGGAACCAGUAAAUGUGAUAUUGUUGAAAUGGAAGCAUAUCCAUUACCAUUGAGUCUACCAGGAUAAGAGUCCUCUGCCUGAGAAUGAACCAGUGUCUGCAGUCCUCAGGGACAUUCUAUCUGCCUGGAACUAUAUAUACUACCUAAGAAGUCAAACGUGGAGAAAUUAUAAGCCCUGAUAAUUCUUUGUCUUCCCAUGAAUUUACUUUACUAUUCAUAUUUACUUACAUAUACUACUUACUAUUCAUAUUUAAUUUCCUAUUUCACAUGUUGUUUUCCCCCAAUAGAAUGUAAGCUCCCUGAGAGGAGGGACUAUCUCAUAUUUUUCUUUGCAUCCCCAAUACUUAGCUUAAUAAAUGCUUGGUGAAUUGAAUUGAAUCAUUAAAGUUGUAUUGUUGAAGAGCUCAGACCUAGUCCCUUUUCUUGACAGAAAUAAGAGUUGCAAAACAUAUCCUUCCUUGACAUGGGACAGACACUUAGUGGAAAAAACAAAUACAACUGAUGUGUAAGUCCAUAUUAAUAUUAAUUUUAUCUUCCUGCCAAACAUCAAGAGAUCCAGAGUAAAAAUAGUAAUUAAGCAGGUAUCUCAUAACAACAGUUGGGGGGGAAAACAAUUCAAGGUUCUUUUCUAUUUUUAUUU